rnacentral:lncRNA from 1 species
CUGCUGCAUGGUUACUGUACACCGCACAGCUGUUUUUCUCUAUAGCAUGUUUGGUUGAAUAAUUUCACAUUUAAAAAUUAGGAAAUUUCAUGUAGUAACCUGGCUUUUUCUGGAAAUUUGUGAGAUUCAGCAAUCCCGGUUCUACUUCCUCCACAGCAGGAAUCUUCCGGAGGUGAGUGACUGACCCACAGCAAGUACUCACCGGCUUAUCCCACACGCCCACCAUCGCCCUUUUCUGACCUUGCUCCACUUCGUUCACGUGACACGCUUCUUCAAGCAGCCAGUGGAAAGUGCACUACAUGAUUCACGUGCAUCAGGGAGCAGUAUUUAUCGCCUCUUCUUUCCCUGGCCCUAAGGAGCACACGGCCCUGGCUGCCAUCUACACUUGCUCCACAUCCACCUCCUUGUUUCCCGAGGCGCUUCCUCCCAUCUACAGUGGCUCCUAUUACGACUCAUUUGGGAUCUGACUCUAGAUGAUUUUGCAGAGCACGUGUGUGAGCAACCUCGAGAACAAACGAGUGGGAGGAGAUGCUGUGUCAACUGCAGGGAAAGGAAAUGCCGUGGAAAUUAGUCACAAGUGAUGGCUACUCAAACUUUGACUGCUGAAAAAAGGGCCAUCGACUGAGAGAAGCAGAGAGGCGGAGAAUAUUGAUUAGAAUCCUUUAUUAAAAUCAUAUUUUCAUCAGGACGAAGUAUACAUAGAAACAUCACAUAAUCUCUGACAUCUUGUCAGGCUGGGAAAUCAAAAUUUACCUGCUCUCAAAGUAUUUCACUUCUGUGUGUCUUUUUGAUACAUUCCGUCUAGAAUGUACAUGUCUUGAAAUAGAGAUUUCAGGGAGUGAACAAGCAGAAUGAUUGAUUAGCUCAGAUUAUUAAGGGGUGGAUUUCAGGCAACUUGGAUAAUAUUUUUUGAAGAUUACUUUUAUUUAAAUGUAGAUCUACAAUAGCAAUGUGAACUGGAAUAAUAGGAUAACUUAAUUUAGCAUAUUUUAAAAAUCUAACAUAUCUAUCUUUUACAUGAAUGUUUUUUCCAGUGUCGCAAAUUAAUUUUUUAUUUGUGAGUAUAGUGUAACACACUGGAACACUGUAGUUAAGACUUUGAGGCUUUGCCAACUCAAAUUCCCUGGAUUUUUAUUUUUCAUUAUUUGUAUUUUAGGUUUGGGGGUACAUGUGAUGGCUUGUUACAUAGAUAACCGUGUGUCAUGGGGGUCUGUUGUACAUAUUAUUACACCACCCAGGUAUUAAGCCCAGUGCCCAGUAGCUACCUUUUCUGCUCCUCUCCCUCCUCCCACUCUCCCUCCUCCCACUCUCCCUCCUCAGGUAGACCCCAGUGUCUAUUGUUUCAUUUUUUGUGUUCAUAAGUUCUUAUCAUUUAGUUCCCAUUUAUAACAUGAGAACAUAUGGUAUUUCGUUUUCAUUUUCUUUUUCUUUUUUUUUUAAUCUGUCACCUAGGCUGGAGUGCAGUGGUGUGAUCUCAGCUCACUGCAACCUCCGCCUUCCAGGUUCAGAUGAUUUUCCUGCCUCAGCCUCCCAAGUAGCUUAGAUUAGAG